rnacentral:rRNA from 1 species
UACGUAGGGACCGAGCGUUGUCCGGAUUCAUUGGGCGUAAAGAGCUCGUAGGCGGCUGUUCAAGUCGAACGUGAAAACUCGGAGCUCAACUCCGAGCCUGCGUUCGAUACUGGACGGCUAGAGUCUGGUAGGGGGAUCUGGAAUUCCUGGUGUAGCGGUGGAAUGCGCAGAUAUCAGGAGGAACACCGGUGGCGAAGGCGGUUCUCUGGGCAUUACCUGACGCUGAGGAGCGAAAGCAUGGGGAGCGAACAGG